UACGGGGGGGGGCAAGCGUUGUCCGGAAUCAUUGGGCGUAAAGAGCGCGUAGGCGGCCCUGUAAGUCCGCUGUGAAAGUCAAGGGCUCAACCCUUGGAUGCCGGUGGAUACUGCAGGGCUAGAGUCCGGAAGAGGCGAGUGGAAUUCCUGGUGUAGCGGUGAAAUGCGCAGAUAUCGGGAGGAACACCAAUGGCGAAGGCAGCUCGCUGGGACGUGACUGACGCUGAGACGCGAAAGCGUGGGGAGCAAACAGG
rnacentral:rRNA from 1 species